UUUGACCUCAAAUCAGGUAGGACUACCCGCUGAACUUAAGCAUAUCAAUAAGCGGAGGAAAAGAAACUAACAAGGAUUCCCCUAGUAACUGCGAGUGAAGCGGGAAAAGCUCAAAUUUGAAAUCUGGCAGUCUAUUUUUUCUUCUUUGGCUGUCCGAGUUGUAAUCUAGAGAAGUGCUUACCUGCACUG
rnacentral:rRNA from 1 species